rnacentral:lncRNA from 1 species
GCAGUGGGAGUGUCGAGAGAUGUGAAGGCAACAGCAGGAAUAAUGAUAAGAUUGGUUGUGAGGUACUGUAUAGAUGAGAUGGGUAGGACCAGAGAUGCACCUGAGAGCAGGAGGAAAAGGAGAGGAAAAUGGUCAUGUGGGUGCCAGAUAGUACUGCAUAACCUCUCCUUUUGAAUUUGAGGUACCUGUGUCUGCCAAGAGUAGCUUUUCCAUUUCACAACCAUCACACUUUCCUGUGAGUUCAGAGUUAAUGAAGACAUGUGGAUGCAAAAGGAAAACUUGCAGAGCAAAGUCGUUGCCAAACAGG